AGAGUUUGAUCCUGGCUCAGAGUGAACGCUGGCGGCAGGCCUAAUACAUGCAAGUCGAACGGCAGCACAGCAGAGCUUGCUCUGUGGGUGGCGAGUGGCGGACGGGUGAGGAAUACGUGGGAAUCUGCCCAGUCGUGGGGAUAACGUAGGGAAACUUACGCUAAUACCGCAUGCGCCCUUCGGGGGAAAGCCGGGGACCUUCGGGCCUGGCGCGAUUGGAUGAGCCCACGUCGGAUUAGCUAGUUGGCGGGGUAAAGGCCCACCAAGGCGACGAUCCGUAGCUGGUCUGAGAGGAUGAUCAGCCACACUGGAACUGAGACACGGUCCAGACUCCUACGGAAGGCAGCAGUAGGGAAUAUUGGACAAUGGGCGCAAGCCUGAUCCAGCCAUGCCGCGUGAGCGAAGAAGGCCCUCGGGUUGUAAAGCUCUUUUGUCCGGAAAGAAAAGCGCCGGGUUAAUACCCUGGUGUCCUGACGGUACCGGAAGAAUAAGCACCGGCUAACUUCGUG
rnacentral:rRNA from 1 species